rnacentral:rRNA from 1 species
CCAAUAGCGUAUAUUAAAGUUGUUGCAGUUAAAAAGCUCGUAGUUGAAUUUCGGGAUCAAGGAAUCGGUCAUGCCUCGGUAUGUACUGGUUUUAUUGGUUCUCACCUUCUAAAGAACCAUGAUGUCAUUCAUUUGAUGUUAUGGGGAAUUAGGACUGUUACCUUGAAAAAAUUAGAGUGUUUAAAGCAGGCUUACGCUUGAAUACAUUAGCAUGGAAUAAUGAAAUAGGACAUCAGAUUCUAUUUUGUUGGUUUCUAGGAUCGAUGUAAUGAUUAAUAGGGAUAGGUGGGGGCAUUAGUAUUCAAUUGUCAGAGGUGAAAUUCUUGGAUUUAUUGAAGACUAACUACUGCGAAAGCAUUUGCCAAGGAUGUUUUCAUUAAUCAAGAACGAAAGUUAGGGGAUCGAAGACGAUCAGAUACCGUCGUAGUCUUAACCAUAAACUAUGCCGACUAGGGAUCGGAUGAUGUUAAUUUUAUAAUGACUCAUUCGGCACCUUACG